ensembl:lncRNA
AAGUAUACGGGCUUUAGACAGCAGUGCAGGUUUUCUGUUCCUAUCACACUCCAACGCUGAGAUCUGGGAGAUGUUUAGUGCAGUAAAAGCAAAGAUUCCCCUAAGUUUAUGAUGCAGCUUAAUACACUGCGGGUGUGAUGGCUGCCCUCUUGUGGACGAAGGUUUAACUGCAGGUAAAAUGGCUAAAAAGGCUGAGGAGCGCCAACCUUUCAGAACAUUUCUAGGCCAGACUCGUGCAAAAUAAGUCGGGGGAGUCUGACUGUCCAGCAGAAGGCAUGUAAUAAACGUCAGUCAGGACGUUGGAGCACCAACUGGAGUUAAUUUAAUAAAUACAUUUCUGUAUGAUGUCUAAAAUGUGAACAUAUCCUCCGGGAUCAAGACUUCUGCCUUCUCCAGCAUGGAGAUCCUGUGUUCCUGACGUUCUCUGGAGAGACGCUGAGCUACGAAGUGGGACUGCUUCAUCUUCUCUUCACUGUAUAUGCAGUGUAUAUAUCAAUGAAGCGAGAGAUAAAUGUGUUGUGGUCUUUUUGCUGUGAUGCCUGUGAAUUUUUUUUGUGGAUCAUAAUUUUAAAAGACAAAGGCGCUACGACACCGAGGUGUUUGCUGUGGGGUUUGGUGGCGUUGUGGUGACGUUGUGGUGACGUUGUGCUCUGUGGAGUGGGAGGUUAUUGGUUCAAACCCAGCUUGGGUGCUGGAUGGUAGAAUGGGGAGUUAAUGUGUCUCACUUUUUUGACCUGGAAGUGUGAUGCUUAGUUCAUGGUUACAUAAAUGAAGGUGAAAAGGUCUAUAAAACAGGUUUCUUGUACGAGAUCCUGUAGCUCAUGUGGAUGAGCAUCGCCCUCUGGGUUGAGUGGUUGCUGGUUCAAACGCCAGCCAGGAUGAAAGGAUAAGAGCGUGGAAGGUUCAGGAAUCAGUGGAAGGCUGAUUGAUGUGGAAGGUCCAGGACGAGUGGCGUGGAAG